rnacentral:rRNA from 1 species
GACGAACCGUGCGAACGUUAUUCGGAAUCACUGGGCUUAAAGCGCGUGUAGGCGGGAGGGCACGUCCGUCGCUGAAAUCCCCCGGCUCAACCGGGGAACGGGCACGGAUACGACCUUCCUGGAGGGGCGUAGGGGGACCUGGAACUUCCGGUGGAGCGGUGAAAUGCGUUGAGAUCGGAAGGAACGCCCGUGGCGAAAGCGAGGUCCUGGACGCCUGCUGACGCUGAGACGCGCAAAGGCCAGG